rnacentral:rRNA from 1 species
UACGAAGGGGGCUAGCGUUGCUCGGAAUCACUGGGCGUAAAGCGCGCGUAGGCGGAUUGCUAAGUCAGGGGUGAAAUCCUGGAGCUCAACUCCAGAACUGCCUUUGAUACUGGCGAUCUCGAGUCCGGGAGAGGUGAGUGGAACUGCGAGUGUAGAGGUGAAAUUCGUAGAUAUUCGCAAGAACACCAGUGGCGAAGGCGGCUCACUAGCCCGGUACUGACGCUGAGGUGCGAAAGCGUGGGGAGCAAACAGG